AUUGAACGCUGGCGGCAGGCCUAACACAUGCAAGUCGAGCGGGGUUUUCGGACCUAGCGGCGGACGGGUGAGUAAUGCGUAGGAAGCUACCCGAUAGAGGGGGAUACCAGUUGGAAACGACUGUUAAUACCGCAUAAUGUCUACGGACCAAAGUGUGGGACCUUCGGGCCACAUGCUAUCGGAUGCGCCUACGUGGGAUUAGCUAGUUGGUGGGGUAAUGGCUCACCAAGGCGACGAUCCCUAGCUGGUUUGAGAGGAUGAUCAGCCACACUGGAACUGAGACACGGUCCAGACUCCUACGGGAGGCAGCAGUGGGGAAUAUUGGACAAUGGGCGCAAGCCUGAUCCAGCCAUGCCGCGUGUGUGAAGAAGGCCUUCGGGUUGUAAAGCACUUUCAGUAGGGAGGAAGGGUGUUGUGUUAAUAGCACAGCAUUUUGACGUUACCUACAGAAGAAGCACCGGCUAACUCUGUGCCAGCCGCCGCGGUAACAC
rnacentral:rRNA from 1 species